rnacentral:misc_RNA from 1 species
AAAAGCGGAAAAACACAUUGAUUUUGUUCGAGGAAGUAGGCGGCAACCCCUCAGGAGUGUCUUUCCAAAUUGUCACAGCUGAAACAAUAUGUGGGAACGCAUAUGAAGGAAGCACAUUACAACUAUCAUGCUCUGGUGGGCGAAUCAUCAGGGAUAUUCAAUUUGCCAGCUUCGGCAACCCACAGGGCACUUGCGGCUCAUUCCAGAAGGGUGAUUUUGAAGCCACUGGCAGCGUUUCCAUGGUGGAAAAGGCAUGCGUCGGGAAAGUUA